GUAAACACGAUGAAGAGGAUAAGUAGAUAGAGAAUUUGUAGCAGAGAGGAAAACGUAAGCUGAGAGUUUUCUUACAAUGUAUUUAUUGAAUUCACCUUGGAGUGCGACUAAUCAUCGCCGUCAACACAACGUUACUGUGAAUCAAGUGCAUAACAGAAUUUGUUAUGAAUUAGGAUGGUACCGCGAUUAUAAUCGUUCCUAGC
rnacentral:ncRNA from 1 species